GUCCCAUUUUUGUCUAUGUUGAUGACUAUUCGUAGUAUCAUGAACAACUGAGGUGAAUUUGUCCUCUGUGCUCGAAUUGUUGUCGGCACCAAUGGCCUUUCUUGUCUAAGCUAUGUUCGAUUUGUCCGUUAUAUCAUAUUGGCUUUUCUGACCAAGUUCAAAAUAAAAUUGUUUACUUAAGACAUUAAUAUGUCAAUUUUUUUUUUCUUUGUUACCUUGGAUAAUCGUUAUCUUGGAUAACCGUUAUCUUGGAUAAUCAUCUAUUAUUCAGCUCCAGCUUGUCACAUCUCCAUUUCGUGCUAUGUUUACGUCAUCAUUCCUCCCUUUUACAUCAUCUACCUCAACAUCAGAAUGGUUAUUCGAUCAAGACGCGACGGGUGUUGAUUUGUACGAAUUCUAGAUGCCAACCAUUACACGUUCGUUGUUCCACUGUCUUCCUUCUUUGGCGCUCCCGAUGAUUACUUUCACUCUCCUUCGGUGGGACAGUGUACACUCCAAAGGACUACUGCUGCCUAUGACCUAUUUUCCUAUUCUAUAUUAUUCUAUUGUAUUUUAUUCCUACUAUAUGGUAGAACUAUUCAUAUCUACUAUCCUACUAUCUACAGUUUGGUGAGUCCCAAUAUAUAUAUAUAUAUAUUUUUUUUUAUUUCUAUUAUUUAUUUGUUGUGUUUUUUUUUUGUUUUUUUUUUGGAAAUCUCACAUCUUUUCGUUUUGCUCAGUUUUAAAGGAUUUUAAUAUCUUUUGUGGAUUUUGUUGGUCUCUUUUUCCUUUUUGUUUUUGUUUUCGCUUGAGCUUAGAAUAUUUAUACAUUAUCUUUCAUACCUUCUACGUGUAAUAUAUACAACUUUAAAUAUGUCAAAGAAUAGUGUUUUUCUAGCAUUAUUUGUAUGAC